GGCAACUUGGCCGAGCGGUCUAAGGCGCCACACUCAAGGAAUUCCUUGCCCCAUCUAAUGGGGUAGCAUUGUGGUAUCGCAAGAUGCGUGAGUUCGAAUCUCACAGUUGUCA